rnacentral:lncRNA from 1 species
AAAGAUUUUAGGAUUUGUAUUCUCAAAUGAAUCACUAUCUUAAAUGAGUGUGUAAAGGGAUAAAUUCGACAUCGCUUAAAUAUAAAAGCAUUGAUCAUCACAUAAUGAUUUGAAUUACUCAUCAUAAACAUGUUAACAAUUUAAGAUCGAUGAAUCCCCAAAUUACAAUAAUAUCAAUCCACAACUUAUUGAAUUUGUGCAAAUAGAUCGAUAGUAAGCCAACUUUAAUUCUUAGCCAGAAAUAGGAACAAGGAAUCCUAUUGUCAAAUUUGUUUGUAAUGCACCGUAUAAAAGAUUGGCCAAUAUUUUUUUGGUUAGUUUUAGGCUUUUACUACUCUAUCUAAAAGUUCAUCAAGUAACUCUUCUAUCUGUGCAACUCAGAACAAGAACACAAGCUUUGUUCUAAGCCACAACCAACCCUAAAACGUUAAAAGAAAUUCUUUAAAAAGUAAAAACCUAAAAAUGGGCAAAAAGAUGAAAGAGUCCUCACUCCCAAUAAUAAUAAUAAUAAUAAUAAUAAUAAUAACCCAUAUAAACUGGAUCCAGUCCAAACGCUGACUAGCCGAGAGCUUGGCUGGACUCCGGUAGAUCGGUUUCCGUUGCUUGUUCUCCCAACAGACCAUGAAAGUCUCUAUCAUGCUUCGCACUCCAUCAUCUUGAUUCUUGAUAAUGAUGAAGAAGAAAACUUUCACCAUUGUAUAAUUUUUAUUAUCAUGGCAAAACCAUAGAAAUACAGUGCACUUUCUUGGUUUUUAAAAUAACGAAAGCAUUUGCGCAGUUGAACCCUAAAACGCCUAAUGAAUUAUAAAAAGUACCUACUAACAGUUGAUAAUAAGAAUGAAGAAAAUGAUAAAACGAAGCCAACUGCAUUUCAUAUCAUCGUUUAGAUUAAGAGAGAGAGCGAGAGAAGUAGAGAGAGAAAAAAGGAAAAAUUAUAAAGUAAAAUGAGAAGAACUUAUCACUUUGAGGAAUGUUACAGUCAAGCUGCCAGAAGUAGAGGGGGUUCAAAAUUCAUAUAUUUUGGUUUAUAUUUCGAUCUGACAUUUCUGAUUGAAUGCAUAAAUAAUUGAUUAAACAUACUUGAGAUAUUUGGUAGCCUAUUCAAUUUUGACGAGUUCACAUUUGGAUCAGAUUUCUUGUUAUUCUCUUUUGAUAGUUUUGUUGUUAGUUUUAAACUUAUAAUUGAUUUUUCAAUACGAAUAUGACGUUUUUAUAAUUUGGAAAAUCAGUAAAAAAUAAUUAACAAAUCUACCUUCGAAUAUAUAUAUAUAUAUAUAUAUAUAUAUUAUUU